AGAAAAGAUCUGGGUCUGCAUCCUGGCUCAGCCAGUUACUAGCUAGCUUACCUUCAGCAAGCUAUUUGAUAUCUAUAAAAUGGCAAUAAUAAGAGUACUGUGUGUAAAGAAUUUAACAUGGCAUGGGCUGCAUAGUAAAGCUCAAUAAAUGUUAGGUAAUAUUGCUAUUAUGAAAGAAAAAUUAUAUAAUGAGAGAUUUAAUUAUAUGAUCAUUUUAAAACUUCUUUGUGUCAAAAUAUCAGUCAUUAAUUGCAGUAUUUGUAACUGAGAACACUGGAAAUAAUAUAAAUGUUAAUUUAUUAGGGUUUACUUAAAUAAUUUAUGUACAUCUUUACAGGGGAAUUUCAUGCAUCUAUAAAAAUAAUCAUGUUUCUAGGUCAGGAUCUAUCAGCUCCAUUGCUUAUCAUCAUUUUGGAGAUAUUAUCUAAUGCAAACAGAUAAGAAAGAAAUUAGAGGUAAAAAUCAGAAAGAAAGGGGUAAAAUUUACCUCUAUGGAUGAAACACUUAUGUACUAAAAAAAAAUCCCAGAGAAUCAACUGAAAAACACAUAAACAAAAAGAGAAUUCAAGGUAAGGUAGCUGAGUACAAAAACUAAUAUAACAGAAAUCAAUAGCUUUCAAAUAUACAUCUAAUUAGAAAGUAUAUUGGAAAAGACCCCAUUUAAACUGAAAAAAUCAUACUAAAGAUAAAAUUCCUAGAAAAAAAGUUAGCAAGAAAUGAGCAAUAUCUAUAAGAAGGGCACAAAAGAAUACUUGAAAAAAUAUAAAGGCACCUCUUAUUCUUAGAUGGAAGAUUCAAUAGUAUAAAGAGGUCAAUUUUCCCUAAUUAAGAUAUAAAUUUGAUGUGAUCCAAAUAAAAAUACCAGCAGGAUUUUUAAUAACUUGAUGAGCUGAUUCUAAAGAUCACAUGGAAAAAAUAAAAAGCAAGAAUAUUCAGGAAAAAUUCUAAAAAAGGAGAAUAAUAAGGAGAAGACUAACCUUAUUAGAUAUUAAAACACAUUAUAAAUGUGUAAUACUGGUCAUUAUAUCUAUACUGUGUAUAGACAUACAUAUUAAUGUACCAGAAUAGAAAAUCUAGAAAUAAACCCAAAUACAUAUAGGAAUGGAGUAAAUUUGUUGCCCACAUAUCCAUACGAAAGGAAAUUCUAAAGGAUAUUCUUUAGGCAGAAGGAAAAAAUUCCAGAUCAAAAUAACAGAACUGUAUAGAUUUCUCCAGUGGGGAGUGAGACAUCUCUCAAGCUUGUCUUUGGUCCUUUCAAAGCUCAACAAAAACUACUUUCAGGUUGCUGAACGUGCUCUCUCAUUCCUACACACUUGAAUAUGCUAUGCUUUGGGUCUAGAAAGCUGUUUUUCACCUACCCUAUCUGCCAAACUCAUACUCAAGCUUCAAAAAAGUUCAGGAGUCAUUCUUCUGUGAAGUAUUCCUUCUUCGAGAAGAAAUAGAAUACAUGCAGUGUCUCCUUAAGUGUUGACUUUCCUCCAAUUUCUUGCAUUUCCAUUUUGUUCUUCAUCUGUUAUUUGUUCUUUACAACACUACCAGAGGAAUACUGCUAAAAUAUAGAUUUGAUUAUGUCUCUCUCGUGUUCAAAAAUAUUUGAUGCUACUAAUAUGCCUGUGUGUCUAUAAAAUAAAGUAUGAACUUCUUGGGACAUGGGAGGCAUUCAAGGCUAUCCAGGAUUCACCUCCAACCUACUUUUCUCACGUCGGCUCUACCACGUAUGCCUUUGCACUCUAUCCUUGAGCCACCCCAGCCCUCACCAUUCACACACACAGCUCUCUGGGUACCUUUGUUCACCCAGAGCCUUUGGCUUGAUAUGCCCUCUCUCCCCUCAACCUGUCCCCCUGUCCUGUCUUCUCUGCCCUUUCAGAUCCUUCAAAGCUCUGUUCUCAAUGAAGCCUCAUCUAAAAUCCCAUUAAGAAUUAAUGACUCAUUCCUGAGCUUGCAUAAUUAGUAUUUAUUUCAUUAUGGUUGGUAUUAUUAGUUGUUUAUAUGUCUGUCACUAGUCUAUAACAUUCUUUACGUCAGGGCCAUGUCUUACUAAUUUGUUUCAUCCUCCUGGCUUUAAAUACACUGCUUACCACAUGGUAAUAAA